AACGAACGCUGGCGGCAUGCCUAACACAUGCAAGUCGAACGAGACCUUCGGGUCUAGUGGCGCACGGGUGCGUAACGCGUGGGAACCUGCCCUUAGGUUCGGAAUAACUCCCCGACAGGGGUGCUAAUACCGGAUAAUGUCUUCGGACCAAAGAUUUAUCGCCUUUGGAUGGUCCCGCGUUGGAUUAGCUAGUUGGUAGGGUAAAAGCCUACCAAGGCGACGAUCCAUAGCUGGUCUGAGAGGAUGAUCAGCCACACUGGGACUGAGACACGGCCCAGACUCCUACGGGAGGCAGCAGUGGGGAAUAUUGGACAAUGGGCGAAAGCCUGAUCCAGCAAUGCCGCGUGAGUGAUGAAGGCCUUAGGGUUGUAAAGCUCUUUUACCCGGGAUGAUAAUGACAGUACCGGGAGAAUAAGCUCCGGCUAACUCCGUG
rnacentral:rRNA from 1 species